AGUCAAGUGAAUAAGUGCAUCAGGUGGAUGCCUUGGCGAUGAUAGGCGAAGAAGGACGUGUAAGCCUGCGAAAAGCACGGAGAAGCUGGCAAAAAAGCAAUGAUACCGUGAUGUCCGAAUGGGGAAACCCACUGCACUCGUGCAGUAUCCUAGUCUGAAUACAUAGGGCUAGAGAAGCGAACCUGGAGAACUGAACCAUCUAAGUACCCAGAGGAAAAGAAAUCAACCGAGAUUCCGCAAGUAGUGGCGAGCGAACGCGGAAAAGCCUGUAUAUGAUAAUGGUUAAGAUAGAAGAAGGGAUUGGAAACUUCCGCCAUAGUGGGUGAUAGCCCCGUAUUUGAAAUCUUAACCAUGGUACUAAGUAUACGAGAAGUAGGGCGGGACACGUGAAAUCCUGUCUGAAUAUGG
rnacentral:rRNA from 1 species